UGGCUAUUGUACAGGAGUAAUUGAUGUAGAGGAUGCAACAUUAGUAACAACCGCAGUUCACAGAAUGAUGGUCACAGAACGGGUCAGGCUGGAAGGGACCACAAAGGGCCAUCUGGCCCAGCUCCCUGCUCAAGCACAGCACAACUUUUUGUCUUGGACACACACUUCAGCGCUACAAAUUAAUCUCUGAGCUUAGGAAGCCGAGUGUCUCGGAGCUUUUUGACAGAAAACAGGGAGUAGUGCUGUAUCGACCACCUUCCUGCUACUUCUGAUGUAAGUAGACAGUAAAUGUGAAGAAACUUUAUUUUCCUCUCAGACUGGCUGUUAAACUCCACAAAACAGAGGAGCUGAGAGGAGCACUUUGUUUGCACUGCAUACUGUAGAUUAGACUGAUUUCUGACUCUCAGAGUUGUGAGGGAGGAAGCCAGCCUGAAAUCUGUCUGUACAAUUUUAUCAACAGAGCUAGUGAGUUUUAAAAAUCAUCUCUAAUAAAAAAGAGCAGACUGUAAUGCAAAAAUAUGAAAUUUGCAUAUUAAUAAAAGUACUUUUAGUGUUUUUAG